GCUCACUUUGUCAGAACAUAUAAUAAAAUUAGAACGACCCAGAAAACAUUAGCAUGGUCCUCAGGCAAGGAUGAUGUGAAAAUUUGUGAAACAUUCCCAACAUUC